NNNUGUAUAGCUCAGUGGUAGAGCAGCAGAUUGCAGAUCUGUAGGUCGCCGGUUCGAAUCCGGCUGUACCCU
rfam:Anncaliia algerae PRA339 unplaced genomic scaffold supercont2.22, whole genome shotgun sequence.